rnacentral:rRNA from 1 species
UAGAGGAAAAGGAGCUGGUAUCAGGCUCAAUACGCCCAUAACACCUAGCCCCGCCACACCCCCAAGGGUACUCAGCAGUGAUCAACAUUGUAAACUAGCGCAAGCUAAAUUCAGUUACUAGCCAAAAAAACCGGUCAAUCUCGUGCCAGCCACCGCGGUUAUACGGGCAGGUUUAAAUUGAUAACGUCGGCACAAAGCGUGGUUAAAUAAUAUUUUAAUAAAGCAAAAAUUAAGCCCAGCUGUGAUAUGCUUUCGCUUUUAAGAACUCCAAUUACGAAAGUAGCUUUAAUCCUAAUUGAACCCACGAUCGCUAGGACACAAACUGGGAUUAGAUACCCCACUAUGCCUAGCCCUAAACUUUGACAACUUCGCCUGGGGACUACGAGCGUUAGCUUAAAACCCAAAAGACUUGGCGGUGCCCUAUACCACCUAGAGGAGCCUGUUCUAUAAUCGAUAAUCCCCGAUUUACCUCACCAUCUUUUGCCAAUACCGUCUGUAUACCUCCGUCGCCAACUGACCCCUCAAGGGUAAUAGUCGGUUUAAUGGCCUACCACCAGUAAGUCAGGUCAAGGUGCAGCGAAUGAGAUGGGAAGCAAUGGGCUACAUUUUCUACCAAUAGACCAUACGAAAGAUCACUAUGAAAUCUGGUUGGAAGGCGGAUUUAGCAGUAAAAAGAGACUAGAGUGCUCUUUUUAAGCCGGCUCUAGGGCGCGCACACACCGCCCGUC